rnacentral:misc_RNA from 1 species
AACCUUAUGGACCUGCGGGCGUAUACCUGCGGAAGGAUCAUUACCGAGUUUACAACUCCCAAACCCCUGUGAACAUACCACUUGUUGCCUCGGCGGAUCAGCCCGCUCCCGGUAAAACGGGACGGCCCGCCAGAGGACCCCUAAACUCUGUUUCUAUAUGUAACUUCUGAGUAAAACCAUAAAUAAAUCAAAACUUUUAGCAAUGGAUCU